AUGGACCCUAUGGUUGUUGGUACGCUACCUGAUGAUCUGGUGGUGGAAGUCCUCUCCCGGCUGCCGUUCAAGUCUUUUUGCCGCUUCAAAUGUGUCUACAAGCCCUGGGUCGCCUUCUCAUCAAAUCCAAACUACCAUGAGAACCUGCCGAAAAUUCCCACUAGCCUUUUCUGCCAAUACCAAGACCAGGAUAAGAAGGCUACCAAGCUUAUUGGCCAGCCCCGAAACGUGGAGCAAAUUGAUGGAGCACUUAGUUUCUUGCCGCAGUACCCACAACUGGAGCUUAUGGUUUGCUGCAAUGGCCUAGUCCUUUGCAUGCGUAGGAGCAUGGAUUGGAGCAAUCGUACAAUUAUCUACCGCUUCAUUGUGUGCAACCCCGCAACACGAGAGUGGACAAAGCUGCCUGAUAGCCGUCCUUACCAAGAACAUGGUAUUUGUGAUGCUAUGUUGGUUUUCAACCCGUCAUGUUCCCCACAGUUCUAUGUCCUCAACUUUAAACGGGAUCCUUUAACUUCAUUCUUGAGCGGGCUCGAGGUGUUUUCAUCCAACCUUUCCACAUGGCUUGGGUAUGAUGCAUGGUGGAAUUCUGGGAAGCCCACUGUUAUUGGAUACCGACACUUGUUCAUAGAUGGUUCACUUUAUCUGUUUAGUCUGCGGAGGAAUUCAAGGAGGAUCUUGGUGCUGAAUGGCUUUGAGGCAAUGAGUUCCCGCAUACCGCCUAGUCGUCGGACUAUCAAGUUGCCAAACGACCCUUCUGUUGAGUCUCCGAAUGGCCUUUCCUUUGGUAUGUACACUCGAGGUUUCUUUGGACACUCUCUAGGGGCCUUGCACUUUGCAUUGCCAGAGGUGGAUGGGAGUGCGAUCCGGAUCUGGAGUAUCGAUGUUUCCGGGCCUUACAAGUGGAGUAUGAAGCAUCGUCUUAGUAUGAGAGAUGCGUUUGGAAGAGAUGACCUUGCUCACUAUGACUUCACACAACAGUGUCGGAAUUGUGCUUACAAGAUUGUCGCUCUCGACUUGGAGAGUGACGUCAUAUUCCUCCUUGACCAGGAAAACCAGGUUCGUUCGUACGCCAUCAGCACUGGGAAACUUCAUGAGCUAAAUGACAUUGAACAAGAUCAUGAGCAUAGCUAUAACAAGUUCUUUUAUUAUAUUGCAUGCUACUUGAAGCUUCCAGCAUCCGUGCCUUUUCCUUAG
rnacentral:rRNA from 1 species